AGCUUGUUCUCUAUGUUGCCUGCUCGUCCGUCGUCGUCGCGAGCUCCUCCCUCGCCGUCGUCGUCGGUGCCUGCUCUUCCCUCGCCUGUCCUCGGCCCUGCAUGGGGAUCAACCUCUACGUCCCCUCGCAUGAACAAUAAUACGUCGCCGCCGCCCUCUUUUUCUCACCACCACGCACGCCGAUCCGCACUGCGCCGCCGCCGCCGUACGCCCGUACUCACCAACCGUAUCGCGGACCACUCAACCACUCCGUACCUACGUGGGUCUCCAUUGACGAUCCAAAUUGGAUGCCUGCCACUGUCCUCCGCCCAGGCUGCCUGCUUUCAAAUCACCUUCGAACAUCCUCCGACGGUAUGUAUACUUUUGGGCGAUCCAUUCAAAUGUGUGCAUGUUGCUAGCUGCCUAGCUGAUCCAAUCGACUGCCUGCGUACACCUAAAAAGUUUCUGGCUGGCCGAUCCAAUAAAAGGUUUCCAGCAGCAAGUUUGUUCCAGCGUGGCAGUGCAUGCGUAUGACUUUGGAGUUUGGAGAGCCAUGACUAUUAAAAAUGAUUGCUCAAAGUCUAAGCAAAAGUUCCAUCCGUCAGAGGGCUACCAAGUGGCUGGCAACAGCGUUUGCGCGGCGACUGACACCGGCUCGAGCUGCACCGACCUGAGCCCCCUUUCCAUCCGCCGGUGAUCAAUGUUGGUCUGCGGGUUUAACCUGGACAGAUCCAUCGUCAAACGUCGACCUACAUGUACGUGGUUAUGACAUGGUCUUUUGUUGUUCGAUCGGUUCAGUGCAUCCUACCAUAUGAAUUUCCAGUACACCUAAUUCAGUUUCAGGAUUUAGGGAUGCAUUUGUAGCACUGUUUCAUGUUGUAGAGUGCAUAUGCAUUUGUUUGAAACAUUGAGUUUACAGCUAUAAAAUCAGGAUUUCCUGCGACAGAGAUGGUUCACACCCUUCAGUUCAAAAUCAGGAUUUCCUGUGAUUGAAAGCUUGAAUUUCGGACGGCUACAAAAGCAACCAUGGUUAUAUACUGGAAUAGAAAAACAAUUGAGGCUGUAAAUUGAUUGCGACAAGCUUUUUACUGCAGUAAUAAUAUCCAACAUGAGACUACUUUAAUCCUUUUUGGAACUUCAGGACUUAGUUAUAAAGUUGACACGUGCUAUCUCUGUAACCCCGAUACUUCAACAUGACCCCGUAUCACAUAUCCGAUACGUAUCUGUGUAUCCGUAUCCGAUACUCCGAUACACCUUUGUGCCUUUAAGUUUUGCAGAAAUUUGACGUAUCCACGUAUCCGUAUCGGGCCGAUACUGAUACGCCUAUCCGUAUCGGUGCUACAUAGCGUGCUAUAUUAUAUCAGCGUUUUGCAGUGAAAGAAAAGGCUAAUGGAAUCAAUAGAAAGAAAAAUCAUGUGGUGAAUGAUAACAUACUUUGCCAUGCUUUGUCUCUGUUUCUAGAACUUGAAGUUUGAAUAAUGUUUAUUGCCAUGGCUAAUAGAUUUCCUCUACUGUUAUAGGGCCUAAAUUUAGGAACUCAGGUAUUUGGAGUGUGGUGAAUAAAUUCUCUGUGCCAGCUUUGUACAAAUCAUACAAAAUUGUUUGGGUUAUUAAGUUCAGCUAAUCUCUACCGCGAUAGGUUUAUUUAACCAAAAUUUUGUAUGCCAAACAUACCUCAACUACAACUGGUAUAGAUAGAGUUAUAUACACAUCAACAAAAAUUGGGCAUAUUGCAUUACUAAUAAGAUGAAAAAAGUUAUCAUGGAGGCAGUUGAUCGAAAAAAGUUAUCAUAUUGUGUCAUCGGGAAGGCAUGAGGGGCCAUGGUGGCAUCCUUGGCAGCUGUGGUGCUGUUGCAAUUGGAUGGGCAAAAUAAGAUAAUAAUAUUUGGUAAUAAAAGAGAGAUGAAUUUGUGUAAAUAAAUCAAUUUUUUGUAAUCCCACCUAGAUUUAUUAUGUUUUUAUUUUCUUUACACAUAGGACAUUAUUUGCAUCGAGGAUACAUGAAACUCUUGUGUGUUUUCAGUUGAUCUACUGAUAUAAGCAGCAGAGAAGCAUGCAUGUUUGGUCCAAGUGGCCUACUAGGUAGAAGGAAUCUUGAUAUAUUCUUGUUUGAAACAUUGUAUGAUUGAGUGAACGUGCUUUCUUUAUAUGCUUGCAUUGUACGUGUAUAUAGCCCUUUUCUAAGGUAUGCUUUUUCAGUUGAUCUAUUAAGAGUAAAAUGCACUUUGGGUACCUAAACUAUUACAUGGGCAUUAGAUAGGUACUCCAACUCAUAAACAUAACAGAUAGGUACUCAAACUAUAAACUAUUUUGUAGGUACCAGAUAGGUGCUCCAACCCAAAAAUGUAACAGUUAAGUACUCAAUCUGUUUAGUUAGCUAGCAUGCUGCUGUGUGACGUCCGAGCGAGUGCGUUUAAUGUCGAGCGCAUACGAAAUGAAAUCAUGCAUGCGGCAAUAGUAAACGGUGGUGUUAUCUAAUUCCUAGUGAUUCAUGCAUGCUGGUCGAAAAUAAUAAAAGGCACUGGCGCUUUUUACAACAGCAUUGCAGGAACCAUGUCAGGCUAGUGUUAUUAUAAAUUCAUAAUAUUCAGCCGUGAUGCAAGAAUAUUUAGGCAAGUAAAUUGUGCAGUUUUUUUCUAAACUAUUAAUAUGGUCAAGCACAAGAAUGAAAAACAAACCCUAUAUGAUAUUAAAAACAAUUACUAACUCCACCUGAUUCUAGAUGAGGAAAUCUUUAUUAUUAAUAUUAUAAAUUCGUCCAUAAAUAAUUCUAGACAAGCCCUUGCACAAUAAUCUCAGGAUGAGGAAUUGCUUUGUUAUUACCAUUAUUAUUUAUCGAUGAGGAAUUAAAUGCCACCACCGUUUGCUACUGCCGCAUGCAUGAUUUCAUUUCUUUUGCGCUCGACAUUAAACGGACAUCAUGCAGCAGCAUGCUAGCUGACGGGUGAUCAACAUAAAUAAACUGAGUACUUGAUUGUUA